rnacentral:rRNA from 1 species
UGGGGAAUAUUGCACAAUGGGCGCAAGCCUGAUGCAGCCAUGCCGCGUGUAUGAAGAAGGCCUUCGGGUUGUAAAGUACUUUCAGCGGGGAGGAAGGUGUUGCGGUUAAUAACCGCAGCAAUUGACGUUACCCGCAGAAGAAGCACCGGCUAACUCCGUGCCAGCAGCCGCGGUAAUACGGAGGGUGCAAGCGUUAAUCGGAAUUACUGGGCGUAAAGCGCACGCAGGCGGUCUGUCAAGUCGGAUGUGAAAUCCCCGGGCUCAACCUGGGAACUGCAUUCGAAACUGGCAGGCUUGAGUCUUGUAGAGGGGGGUAGAAUUCCAGGUGUAGCGGUGAAAUGCGUAGAGAUCUGGAGGAAUACCGGUGGCGAAGGCGGCCCCCUGGACAAAGACUGACGCUCAGGUGCGAAAGCGUGGGGAGCAAACAGG